rnacentral:rRNA from 1 species
CAGUCGAGCGGAACGAUGAAGUGCUUGCACUUCAGGCGUCGAGCGGCGGACGGGUGGAGUAACGCGUGAGAAUCUGCCCAUCAGUGGGGGAUAACUCGGGGAAACUCGAGCUAAUACCGCAUACGUCCUACGGGACAAAGCAGGGGACCUUUUGGCCUUGCGCUGAUGGAUGAGCUCGCGUCGGAUUAGCUUGUUGGUGAGGUAAAGGCUCACCAAGGCGACGAUCCGUAGCUGGUCUGAGAGGAUGAUCAGCCACACCGGGACUGAGACACGGCCCGGACUCCUACGGGAGGCAGCAGUGGGGAAUCUUGGACAAUGGGGGCAACCCUGAUCCAGCCAUGCCGCGUGUGUGAAGAAGGCCUUCGGGUUGUAAAGCACUUUCAGUAGGGAGGAAGGCUUUGGGCUAAUACCCUGAAGUACUUGACGUUACCUACAGAAGAAGCACCGGCUAAUUUCGUGCCAGCAGCCGCGGUAAUACGAAAGGUGCAAGCGUUAAUCGGAAUUACUGGGCGUAAAGCGCGCGUAGGCGGUGUGUUAAGUCGGAUGUGAAAGCCCAGGGCUCAACCUUGGAAUUGCAUCCGAUACUGGCACGCUAGAGUGCAGUAGAGGGAGGUGGAAUUUCCGGUGUAGCGGUGAAAUGCGUAGAGAUCGGAAGGAACACCAGUGGCGAAGGCGGCCUCCUGGACUGACACUGACGCUGAGGUGCGAAAGCGUGGGGAGCAAACAGGAUUAGAUACCCUGGUAGUCCACGCCGUAAACGAUGUCUACUAGCCGUCGGGGUCCUUAGUGACUUUGGUGGCGCAGCUAACGCGAUAAGUAGACCGCCUGGGGAGUACGGCCGCAAGGUUAUAACUCAAAUGAAUUGACGGGGGCCCGCACAAGCGGUGUAGCAUGUGGUUUAAUUCGAUGCAACGCGAAGAACCUUACCAGGUCUUGACAUCCUCGGAAUUUGGCAGAGAUGCCUUAGUGCCUUCGGGAGCCGAGUGACAGGUGCUGCAUGACCGUCGUCAGCUCGUGUCGUGAGAUGUUGGGUUAAGUCCCGUAACGAGCGCAACCCUUGUCAUUAGUUGCCAGCACGUAAUGGUGGGAACUCUAGGGAGACUGCCGGUGACAAACCGGAGGAAGGUGGGGACGACGUCAGGUCAUCAUGGCCC